UCCCACUUAACAUGGGCAGUUCCCUAUGACACUUGAAACAUAGGGUAAGGGUUGCGCUCGUUAACCGACUGAACGGGACACUUCACAGCACGAGCUGACGACAACCGUGCAGCACCUGUCAUCUGGCUCCUUGCGGCACCCCCCGGUUUCUCGGGGGUUCCAGAGAUGUCAAGCCUUGGUAAGGUUCUCCGCUUAGUGACGAAUUAAACCACACGCUCCACCGCUUGUGCAGGUCCCCGUCAAUUCCUUUGAGUUUUAAGCUUGCGCUCGUACUCCCCAGGCGGCACAUUUAACGCGUUAGCUUCGCCUCAAGGGAGGGUCGAUACUCCCCAAAAGCUAAUGUGCAUCGUUUACGGCGUGGACUAC
rnacentral:misc_RNA from 1 species